AAUCAACGCUGGCGGCGUGCCUCAGACAUGCAAGUCGAACGAUUAAAGCUCCCUUCGGGGAGUGCAUAAAGUGGCGCACGGGUGAGUAACACGUAAGUAAUCUGCCCUCGAGUGGGGAAUAACGUCCGGAAACGGACGCUAAUACCGCAUAAUGCAGCGGCACCGCAAGGUGACAGUUGUUAAAGAUUUAUCGCUUGAGGAGGAGCUUGCGGCAGAUUAGCUAGUUGGUAAGGUAAUGGCUUACCAAGGCCGCGAUCUGUAACCGGUCUAAGAGGACGGUCGGUCACACUGACACUGAAUAACGGGUCAGACUCCUACGGGAGGCAGCAGUCGGGAAUUUUGGGCAAUGGGCGAAAGCCUGACCCAGCAACGCCGCGUGAAGGAUGAAGUAUUUCGGUAUGUAAACUUCGAAAGAAUGGGAAGAAUAAAUGACGGUACCAUUUAUAAGCUCCGGCUAACUACGUGCCAGCAGCCGCGGUAAGAC
rnacentral:rRNA from 1 species